rnacentral:tRNA from 1 species
CCUGGUGGCUCAGAUGGUAAAGAAUCUGCCUGCAAUGCAGGAGACCCGGGUUCAAUUCCUGGGUCAGGA